GCACAGGUAGCAAUACUGGGUGGCGACCGGCAAACGGGUGCGGAACACGUACACAAUCUACCUUUAUCUGGGGCAUAGCCCGAAGAAAUUCGGAUUAACACCCCAUAAAAUAACAGAGUGGCAUCACUUAAUUAUUAAAACUCCGGUGGAUAGAGAUGAGUGUGCGUCCCAUUAGCUAGUUGGUAGGGUAACGGCCUACCAAGGCGACGAUGGGUAGCUGGUGUGAGAGCACGACCAGCCACACGGGCACUGAGACACGGGCCCGACUCCUACGGGAGGCAGCAGUGAGGAAUAUUGGUCAAUGGACGCAAGUCUGAACCAGCCAUGCCGCGUGAAGGACGAAGGCCUUCUGGGUUGUAAACUUCUUUUAUUGGGGAAGAAAAUUAUGGUUUCUACUAUAACCGACGGUACCCAAGGAAUCAGCACCGGCUAACUCCGUGCCAGC
rnacentral:rRNA from 1 species